UACAGAGGGGGGCAAGCGUUAUUCGGAAUUAUUGGGCGUAAAGGGCGCGUAGGCGGCUUGGCAAGUGGAUGGUGAAAUCCCUCGGCUUAACCGAGGAACUGCCGUCCAAACUGCUUUGCUUGAGACCGGGAGAGGUGAGUGGAAUUCCCAGUGUAGCGGUGAAAUGCGUAGAUAUUGGGAGGAACACCAGUGGCGAAGGCGGCUCACUGGCUCGUUUCUGACGCUCAGGCGCGAUAGCGUGGGGAUCAAACAGG
rnacentral:rRNA from 1 species